rnacentral:rRNA from 1 species
AGUGAACGCUGGCGGUAGGCCUAACACAUGCAAGUCGAACGGCAGCACAGUAAGAGCUUGCUCUUACGGGUGGCGAGUGGCGGACGGGUGAGGAAUACAUCGGAAUCUACUUUUUCGUGGGGGAUAACGUAGGGAAACUUACGCUAAUACCGCAUACGACCUACGGGUGAAAGCAGGGGAUCUUCGGACCUUGCGCGAUUGAAUGAGCCGAUGUCGGAUUAGCUAGUUGGCGGGGUAAAGGCCCACCAAGGCGACGAUCCGUAGCUGGUCUGAGAGGAUGACCGGCCCCAUGGAACCUGGAACCGGUUCCGGACCCCUAGGGAGGCCGCCGUUGGGAAUAUUUGACAAUGGGCGGCAACCUUGUUCCGGCCUUCCCGGUUGGUUAAAAAAGCCCUCCGGUUUUUAGGGCCCUUUUUUGGGAAAAAAAAACAGCCGGUUAAUACCCCGGUGUUCUGGCCGUUACCCAAGGAUUAGCACCGGCUAACUUCGUG